rnacentral:rRNA from 1 species
CCUACGUGAGGCAGCAGUGGGGAAUAUUGCACAAUGGGGGAAACCCUGAUGCAGCGACGCCGCGUGAGCGAGGAAGUAUUUCGGUAUGUAAAGCUCUGUCAGCAGGGAAGACGAAUGACGGUACCUGCAGACGCCGCACCGGCUCAAUACGUGCCAGCAGCCUCGGUCAUACGUAUGGUGCAAGCUUUAUCCGGAUGUACUGGGUGUAAAGGGCGCGCAGGCGGUUCUGCAAGGCUGAUGUGAAAGCCCGGGGCUCAACCGCGGGCCUGCAUUGGAAACUGCGGGACUGGAGUGUCGGAGGGGUAAGCGGAAUUCCUGGUGUAGCGGUGAAAUGCGUAGAUAUCAGGAGGAACACCGGUGGCGAAGGCGGCUUACUGGACGAUGACUGACGCUGAGGCUCGAAAGCGUGGGGAGCAAACAGGAUUAGAUACCCGUGUAGUC